ensembl:lncRNA
AUGAUAAAUAAAUUGGAGCAGUUUCAAUACGGACCUCGCAAUGCUUGGGCCCUAAUUACCUUUGGGUGGAGCUGCAGUAGAGUUGGAGGUAGGAGCUGUAGUGGAGUCAAAGGGAGGAUCGAAGGUAGGAUCUGCAGUGGUGUUGGAGGUAGGAUCUGUAGUGGAGUCGGAGGUAGGAGCUGUAGUGGAGUCGAAGGGAGGAUCGAAGGUAGGAUCUGCAGUGGUGUUGGAGGUAGGAUCUGUAGUGGUGUUGGAGGUAGGAGCUGUAGUGGAGUCGGAGGUAGGAGCUGUAGUGGAGUCGAAGGGAGGAUCGAAGGUAGGAUCUGUAGUGGUGUUGGAGGUAGGAUCUGUAGUGGAGUCGGAGGUAGGAGCUGUAGUGGAGUCGAAGGGAGGAUCGAAGGUAGGAUCUGUAGUGGUGUUGGAGGUAGAAGCUGUAGUGGAGUCGGAGGUAGGAGCUGUAGUGGAGUCGAAGGGAGGAUCGAAGGUAGGAUCUGUAGUGGUGUUGGAGGUAGAAGCUGUAGUGGAGUCGGAGGUAGGAGCUGUAGUGGAGUCGAAGGGAGGAUCGAAGGUAGGAUCUGUAGUGGUGUUGGAGGUAGAAGCUGUAGUGGAGUCGGAGGUAGGAGCUGUAGUGGAGUCGAAGGGAGGAUCGAAGGUAGGAUCUGCAGUGGUGUUGGAGGUAGAAGCUGUAGUGGAGUCGGAGGUAGGAGCUGUAGUGGAGUCGAAGGGAGGAUCGAAGGUAGGAUCUGUAGUGGUGUUGGAGGUAGAAGCUGUAGUGGAGUCGGAGGUAGGAUCGAAGGUAGGAUCUGCAGUGUUAAUGCGAGAUGCUGGUGGAUGGACUGUAGUUGUAGUAGUUGGUGGUGUAAAUGACGUUGAAGUUCGUGCUGUUGUAGUUGUAACCAGUGCUGGUGAAGAUGAUGAUGUAGUUGGUGCUGGUGUAGGCGGUGUUGUAGUUGUAGUCAUUGUUGUAGUCAGUGCUGGUGUAGGUGGUAUUGUAAUAGGUAAGGAGAUAAUUGAUGUGGUAGUUGUAGUAUUUGUAGCCAGUCCAGAUGGAGCGAUUCCAGUUUGAGCUGUGGAAUUAAAGAAACAUUUGAUAUCAACAAUCAGAUCAUCUGUACUGUUGAAUUAUCAUUCCUGAUGGUGCAGUGCUUCUCAGAGUCUCUCAAAGUGAUUGUAAUUAAUGAAAUCAAUGGUGGAUCUAAUUUUGUAUUGAAAACAGUCAAAAUCUGACACAGAUUGCAGUAGCUGAUGUGAAUGUUACCUGUGGUUAAACAGCUGAUUGUGGCGAGUAGACAGCCGAUGAGAAGAACAGCAGGAGGCAUCCUACAGAUUUAGUGUUUGUCAGACCUCUGCUAGUGAUGUUUUCGCUGUGCUCCUCCAGAUCUUUUUCUUUUAACCCAUCGUGUGUCUGUCCUGCCUCCUGACAACACACUUGUGUCAAAGUCAAAUAAAUCAAAAUCUGAUUCUUAUGUACAGAGAUCCUGAACUACUGGAUUAUUUCGCGAUGCUGUCAGAAUACCUGAUGAAGGCUGUUGCCAAAAUGCUUCCAGGCUUGACAGUCAACAGGACGUUCGGUUUGCUUUUAAAUAAUAAAAAUAUAAGUGAGUGAAGAAGACACUUUGGAAUGUGUUGCUCAUCGUUGCUACUUUGUAAUGCUUGUCAAUCAUAACUGUUUUAUUUACAUUGGCUAACAUUCAAGGACUGGGCAAAGUUAUUCAUUUUAUGACAGAUCAUUCUUUCUUUCUGCUUGUCUGAUAGACUGUGUGAGCUUAAAGGGGUCAUGAUGCGAUUUAAAUUUUUCCUUUCUCUUUGGAGUGUUACCAGCUUUUGGUGCAUAAAGAAGAUCUGUAAAGUUGCAAAGAUUAAAGUCUCAAACCCAAAGAGAUAUUCUUUAACGACACGUUCUAACACAAAAACAAAGUGUUUACGCUCGCAUGAGGUGGUUUUUCAGGCAAUGGGAAAAAGGAAUAAUUCACAGAACUGCAAUGGAAACGUUUUUUUCACAUUUACAGGUCACAUGGCGUAUGUAAAAAGUCAUAUGAUCAUUCUUCAAUGUACUAAAACCUCCAAGAAACACCUUAUACGUGGCCGCUCUUCAGUAUAAGGGGCUUUCGCUACCAUUAACGCUUAGACAAUUUACACCGAACACAUCUGCGAUGCAGUGCGGCUCUGAUACGACCACUGAAGCUGAUUGCGGUCACUAGUCAAUGCUUGCGUUUAUUCCAGACGCGCCACGCACUUUUCUGAAGUGGCUCUCUGUGCUAGAUACACGCCUACGCCUCCUUUGAAUAAAUAUAGCCAAAACCCGUCAAAAUCUCACCAAAAUCCAUUGCCAUGACUUAUCGCGAGAGGCAAAAGGUUACGUUUUAGUCGCAUAACAUUGGUUAAUGGAAACGCCGUCAUUUGGCAAUACUUUUUUAUUGACAUUUAUAAAACAUCGCCAAAGUUUUGCUCAAAUCUGUAAUGGAAACGCGCCUAAUGUUCAUGCACGGAGCUCACUUCUAACGAGCUGAUUAUCUGAAUCAGUUGUGUUAACAAAGAGAGACGUGCAAAAUAUGCAGAGCUGGGGGGCGCGAGGACUGGAAUUGAGAACCACUGGUGUAGAGUAGAGCUUGUUGCUUGUCGUUUCUCUGAUCAAAAAUCCAGACAUGGUUUUAUGUUUACAUGGUGCAAUGCAACGCAACAUGUAAAAACACAGUAUAAGUCAUUAUAAUCCAUAAUUAUGUCCCCACUGGAUGCAACAAAUGGCUCGUUUGUAAUGGGUUUUAUUGUUUUUGUCUUGUCUCGCUGGUGGUCUGACCAGGACACGCAUCACAGUAUGUUGAGGGGCGUAAUAUUUCUGUAACACGCUUGAGCCAUUCGGCCAAUCACAAUGCACAGGAUAGCUGGCCAAUCAGAGCACACCUCGCUUUUCAGACCGAUGAGCUUUGAAAAAAAAACGAUGCGUUUCAGAAGGCGGGGCAUAGAGGAGAACAAUAAUGUACAGUACUGUAUGUGGAAAAUAAUGUGUUUUUUGAACCUUAAACCGCAUAAACACAUUUCAUUACACCAAAUACACAAAAUAAUGUUCUUUUUAGCAACAUCAUAUGACCCCUUUACUGUUUUAAAUUGUUUUAUGCACUAAAAGUUUUGUUAGCGAUUCAAUGCUCACCAUGACUAGUUUAGAGCUUUUAUGAACACUUAUACUGUUAGUGCUUCUAAGCAAUUGAAGAGAAUGCAACCCACAUAUGCUGAAAUGCUUCUUUCUCAGUGAGAGAUAUUUGGUUUAUGCAACUGGCCUAGUUGGUUACUCUUAAGUAAAGCUUGGCCACAUGAAAGAUGUUUCUUACAUAUGAAAUGAAAUCUUAUUUGCAAUGCAGAAAGACAUUUUUUAAAAUGAAC